UGAGGGUCCCAUCAUGUUCAUAAAGAAUAUCAGAAGAAAAAUCCAAUUGGCUUGUGGGCUCUUCCACUGUCUGUAGCAGCUGAUUUGGACCAUCUGAUUUUUCAUCAUCUGAUAUGUAAAAAAGAAAGAGAGAAGAGACAAGUGGAGCCUAAAACCAAUGGUGGCACGUGCAGGCUCACGUGGGAGCUGUGAUGUACUGUCCUUUUGACAAUAGUCAGAUGGAGAACAGAAUGGACGGUGGAGGAAGAGCCACGUAGGUGACUUUGAUACCACAAUUUUGAGGUGUGGUCGUGAAGAUAGCAGAAAAAGGAGGUAGUGGUGGGUUGGUGAGUGUUGGCG
rnacentral:lncRNA from 1 species